rnacentral:rRNA from 1 species
AGAGUUUGAUCAUGGCUCUUUACUAACGCUGGCGGCGUGCCUAACACAUGCAAGUCGAGCGAGACGGUUAGCAUUGAUCCUUCGGGUGAUUUACUAACUAGACAGCGGCGGACGGGUGAGUAACGCGUGGGUAACCUGCCUUGUACUGGGGGAUAACGUUCUGAAAAGAUCGCUAAUACCGCAUAAGCACACAGUAUCGCAUGAUACAGUGUGAAAAACUCCGGUGGUACAAGAUGGACCCGCGUCUGAUUAGCUAGUUGGUGAGAUAAAAGCUCACCAAGGCGACGAUCAGUAGCCGACCUGAGAGGGUGAUCGGCCACAUUGGGACUGAGACACGGCCCAAACUCCUACGGGAGGCAGCAGUGGGGAAUAUUGCACAAUGGGGGAAACCCUGAUGCAGCGACGCCGCGUGAAGGAUGAAGGAUUUCGGUUCGUAAACUUCUAUCAGCAGGGAAGAUAGUGACUGUACCUGACUAAGAAGCCCCGGCUAACUACGUGCCAGCAGCCGCGGUAAUACGUAGGGGGCAAGCGUUAUCCGGAAUUACUGGGUGUAAAGGGUGCGUAGGCGGUUUGUUAAGUUAGAUGUGAAAGCCCGGGGCUCAACUUCGGGACUGCAUUUAAAACUGACAAACUAGAAUACAGGAGAGGUAAGUGGAAUUCCUAGUGUAGCGGUGAAAUGCGUAGAUAUUAGGAGGAACACC